UCUCAUUUUCCAUUUUCCAAAUUGUGUUUCUCUCUCAUCCACCGUUUGCCACUCCUUUGCUGCCACAUAUCACCUCGUUUGCGUCAGCGAGCCAGCGUCAACAGCUGAGGCAAUUUCCAUUCAGCGCUUCAGACACACAUCAUUCAUUCCUCAAAUCACUCUCAGCGUCUUUUCCCUCGAGAGUCGUCUCUCUCGAACUCACCUUGUCUCCGACCACCGGCCAAACUCAGAUCCACCAUAUUCUCCACAGAUCUGCCACUUCCUUCACAGACUCAUCAUCUUCGGUUCCUUCUCUUUCAUUUUCACCGAUUACAUUCGUCCAAAUCUAGGGUUCUUCCCUCUUUUGCAAUUUCUUUCCAUUUUGACCGGUUAAAUCCUUCUUUGCGCCGAUCUAGUCCAUUUCCACCGAUUAAAACACCAUUCCCACCAUUUAAUCGGUCCAAAUUGAGUUUUCCCCUUCUUCUAGGGUUUUGUCGGUCUAGGUCUUGGAUCUCUGAGUUCCUUUCUCAGAUUCAGUAUGUUCUUCUCAGAUUUGGUUUGAUCUCUUCCUGUUUCUCUCUCGAUCUAUCCAUUCCGCUGCGUCAUCUCUCUGGAGGAAGCUUCGAGGAGCUCACGUCGCGCGUACGGUCUCCUUCUCGGAGCCUUCUCGUAUCAAGUGGUAUUCAGAGCAAGGUUCGAGUUGUGUCCGCUUGAGCUAAGUAUCUUGUUCUCUCUGAUUUGAGUUACUCUUGUGUUGUUUAGUUUCUUGAGUUGUCAUGAAUUUCUCCAAUUGCUUGAUCUCAAUCUGUUCGCUAUUUUGAAGUUUUCGAUUUGUGUGUUGCGUUGUAAAUCUGUUUUGAGUGCUUGUUCUUCUCUGUUUUGUGUUGAUUCGUGUUUCUGUUGUUGCUCAUGAACUGUUUGAGUAAAGGUUUGAAUGAGAUUCAAUAUGUUUGUUCGUUCUUGAAUCUGAAUUUCUGUGUUAGGUUUCCAAGUUUGAUCAAUUUGUGCUUGAGUGUGCUGUGCUUUGAGUCAUUUUAUUGAGUCUUUCAUCAUUUUUAAUCGGUCCAAAAUUUUUGUUUGAGUCAUUUCUAUUUGAGCAUCGUGUCUGUUUUGUCAAGUCAUGUGCAUUCUGCAUUGUUUUAAUUUGUCACAAAUUUUUGAGUAAUCAGCUGCUUAUUGCUUUGUUUUGUGCAUCAAGUAAAUAUGGAAUUGUAAGAACAUUCUGUCCAUCAUCAAAAAAGCUGUGAAAUUCAUUGGAAUGAGCUUGAUGGCAAGUGUAUAACCAGAUCUCAUGCUUUAAAUUCAAUUGUAUUAAAACUGUUGACAUAAGCUGGUUUUGUUUCAUUGGCUGAAAUUCCUUGCAAGCAGUAGGCCGAACUGCAUCUGUCCUUGUUUUGAGUCUUUUCUUUUGAUUUUUUUUUUCAGUAGUAGAUCAUUGCUGGAAUUUUGUGCAUCCAAUCCUUGAGUCAUUGCAAACCAUUUUUACACUUUCUAAACUGCAGAACUAAGUUGUUUCAUUGCUUGCUAAUCACUGUUUUGGUCCAAAACGAAAUAAAGGCAUAAGAGCUGAGUUAAUCAGUUAAAAGAGGCAAAUUCUGAAAAUAAAAAAAAAAUGAGGAACUGAACACGUGAAUUUUGAGUAAAAGCCUAUGAAUUGGUGUAAACUCACCUUGAAUGAACAAAAUAGCUAUUGGACAAGAUCAAUUUUGCAUCUGAAACAUUUUUUUUUCAACAACCAGUUCUACAAUUCUUUGUUGCGUUUCCUUUUAUUUGCUUUCUUAAUCUGUUUUAGAGCUAUUCCUAGGAUCUGUUUGAGUGCCCAUGUUCUUGAAAGUUUUUGUUUCUUGCUUGUCUUGAUUGAUAACUCUGGUUUUGUCCAUCACAUGUGCGUUCUGAUCUGUUGAUUAUAAUUGAAGCUUUUCUUUGCUUUUGGAAAUCUGGUUUAGAGCUCUUAGUAGAGUCUGUUUAGAGCUGUCUUUUCUUCUCUGCUGUCAGUAUACAGUUGUGUAUGUCCUGUUUUGUUCUGCCUAUCACAGUGAUCUUUGCUUAGUCUAGCCUUUGCCUGUUUGAGAAGCAUUUUUCACUCUGGUUUUUGGAUAUUGAAAGAGGUUUGUGUGCUUGGUAGCAUCUUAGGUGGUGGUUGUCUAAAAGACUCUCCAGCCUUAAACUGCCAAGGGAUAAUCUCCCUUCCCAACCCUCAUUUGUAUGUUUUACAUUUCUUAAGAGAAGCCUUGAGUGUUGUGAGUCUUGUAAGGCUGACUUUAGCCUAAUUUCUUUGGCCAUUUGAGAGAGAUAAAUCAGUUUUCAUCUAACUAUAUUGAUAACUGUUUUGGUGACUGUUCAUUGUGCAGGAAAAGCAGUUUGAUUAAUCAAAUUGGAGCAGCUGUUUUUGAAUCCAUCUUAAUCUGCUCUUGCAUUCAUUUUGGAAUUUAAAUUGUUUGCAGAAUCACUAUUAUCAUAACUGUUUUUGAAAGUGAUUGUUGAAUUCAUGGUUGAAUGAAUUUGUUGAAACCUGUGUUGAGUCUCAAUUAGAACUAUCACUUCCUUCUUUGUGAAAUUGUCAAUCCAUUUGCAUUGAGGAAAAUAGAGUACUUGAAUUGGUCGCAUACAGAUUCAGUUUUAUCAGAGUGCUUGAUUGCAUACCUUUGCAUGUCACUUAGCUAGUUGUGCAUUAGCUGAUUUGUUGGAGUCUUUAAGCUUGUGAAUCAAUUUGUUUUAAACUGUCAGUUUCUGAAUUGAAUUACAUCACUUUGAUCGAUCAGAUUUCAAUUAGCUUGGGUUGUUGCUUAAUCAGAUUGGUUUCAGCUUAGACUUAUAUCCAUUUAACUUUGAGUUAAUGAUCAUUAGCAUGUGUAUUUUGGGAUCUGGUAUAAGUUGGUGUGUGCAGAGCUGAUCUGUAGAAGCUUUGAAUUGUAGGGAGUGUUUGAAAUGUUACUUCUGACUUAUAUUGUAUUGACAGGUUUGUUGUGAAUUGCUGAUUCUUGAAUAAUUGUUAGUGUGGGGUUACUUUGAUUGAAAUUGAUGUAAAUGCUGUAAGCAGAUCUGAGCUGACUAAUUGCAGGGAGAAAUCUUAAUUUGAUGUGUGGGUUUUAUGAUAACAUUGCUGGUUGUGUAUUAACUUUGGUGUGAAUUUUGUGCAUGUAUAGCUGAACUGUUUGGAGAUUUAGUUGAGCAGGUAACAGUGAACAAUUUUCACAUGGAAAUUUUGAAAUUGAAGUUUUGAAUUGAUGGAAGUCAUGUAACUGCGGGCAACAAAUUUUCAGUUCGAAAACUGAAGGGAGUUAUCUUACCUUGUUGUGAAUUGUUGUUUCUGAUUUAGCUUAUAAGUGAUAGUAUUGAAUGGAUACCCUGCUGAGUGUAGUUUAAAUAUCUGUGCAGUUUUAGUUGAUACGAAUUGAACAUCUAGUACAGCUGAAUGCAAUUUGAGAGCAAAGCAAUUAUUUGAGUUGCAUCAAGGGCACGAGACAAAAAAUGGACCACGAGAGCUUUGUAAUAUGGACCGAGAGAGUUGGUUACAGGAGCUAGCAUAGACCACUGUCCAGAAUGCAACAUUGACCAAGUGAACCAAGACUGGACUGUAGCAGCAAGAUUUGGGCCGUAGCAUAGGAAUUAAUGUUUUUUAUGUAAUUUUUUUAUUUUUUCUAUGUAUUUGAUGGGCUUGUGUCAGCCCAAUGUCAUUGUUAGCUUUCUUUUGUUUUCUUUUGGUUUGUAAAGGGCCUCUUAUAAAGUCCAAGUUAGGAAGAGUCCUUGGUGCUCUUUCCAACACUUGGCAACUUUAGUUGUUUUUC